GUGCCAGCCGCCGCGGUAAUACCGGCAGCCCGAGUGAUGGCCGCUGUUAUUGGGCCUAAAGCGUCCGUAGCUGGCCGCACGAGUCCGUCGGGAAAUCCGCCCGCUCAACGGGCGGCCGUCCGGCGGAACCUGUGUGGCUUGGGACCGGGAGGCUCAGAGAGUACGUCCGGGGUAGGAGUGAAAUCCCGUAAUCCCGGACGGACUACCGAUGGCGAAAGCACUCUGAGAAGACGGCUUCGACAGUGAGGGACGAAAGCUAGGGUCUCAAACCGGAUUAGAUACCCCAGUAGUCC
rnacentral:rRNA from 1 species